UUGUAAAUGAAAAGAAGAUUAAAAUUGCUGAAAGAUUAGAUAAUGAGUUAAAGUAUAUGUACCGGUGUGGAUCUGUUAGAGAGAUCCGUCUUUAACCAACUCGCAUUUCCAAAAGACUUCAUCGGAGUUGUUGUCGUCGCCGGUGGAGCCUGCUGCUGCACUGUCUUGCUAAGCUGCUGGUUUCGCUGGACAAAGCUGCCGGUAGUCUUUGCAGGUUGCUG
rnacentral:misc_RNA from 1 species